ensembl:misc_RNA 7SK 7SK RNA
AAACGUUAAGGUGGUCUAGUUGUAACAUCUAUCACUCUGCUGAUUACCAGGUUAUUUUGACUAAAUAGCUGGCCAAAGUUGGAGUCUCUUUCCUUCUUUAUCAUAUUACGUACAACACUCCCAAAACGUGAAGCUUGGUCCAAAAGUAUCCAGACAGUAGAGGAUGGUUUCUUAAUCCCUUGGUAAAAAUAACCCUCUUUCAAACCUGACCCACAACCCUGUCUGAGGUAUCAAAUAUACAG